GUCCUCUUUCGUUUUGGGUGAACAAGCGGAAGGGAUCAUUACCGAGUUUACAACUCCCAAACCCCUGUGAACAUACCACUUGUUGCCUCGGCGGAUCAGCCCGCUCCCGGUAAAACGGGACGGCCCGCCAGAGGACCCCUAAACUCUGUUUCUAUAUGUAACUUCUGAGUAAAACCAUAAAUAAAUCAAAACUUUCAACAACGGAUCUCUUGGUUCUGGCAUCGAUGAAGAACGCAGCAAAAUGCGAUAAGUAAUGUGAAUUGCAGAAUUCAGUGAAUCAUCGAAUCUUUGAACGCACAUUGCGCCCGCCAGUAUUCUGGCGGGCAUGCCUGUUCGAGCGUCAUUUCAACCCUCAAGCACAGCUUGGUGUUGGGACUCGCGUUAAUUCGCGUUCCUCAAAUUGAUUGGCGGUCACGUCGAGCUUCCAUAGCGUAGUAGUAAAACCCUCGUUACUGGUAAUCGUCGCGGCCACGCCGUUAAACCCCAACUUCUGAAUGUUGACCUCGGAUCAGGUAGGAAUACCCGCUGAACUUAAGCAUAUCAUAAGGGGGGGAGAGAA
rnacentral:rRNA from 1 species